rnacentral:rRNA from 1 species
GGCGAUUACAGGUACGGGCUUUGAGAGGAGAAGCCCGGAGAUGGGUAAUGAGACACGGACCCAGGCCCUAUGGGGCGCAGCAGGCGAGAAAACUUUGCAAUGUGCGAAAGCACGACAAGGUUAAUUCGAGUGAUUUUUGCUAAAGAAAUCUUUUGCCAGUCAUAAAACCAAUGGUGAAUAAGGGGUGGGCAAGUUUUGGUGUCAGCCGCCGCGGUAAAACCAGCACCUCAAGUGGUCAGGAUGAUUAUUGGGCCUAAAGCAUCCGUAGCCGGCUUUGUAAGUUUUCGGUUAAAUCCAUGUGCUCAACGCAUGGGCUGCCGAAAAUACUGCAUGGCUAGGGAGUGGGAGAGGUAGACGGUACUCAGUAGGAAGGGGUAAAAUCCUUUGAUUUAUUGAUGACCACCUGUGGGGAAGGCGGUUUACCAGAACACGUUCGACGGUGAGGGAUGAAAGCUGGGGGGAGCAAACCGGAUUAGAUACCCGGGUAGUCCCAGCUGUAAACGAUGCAGACUUGAUGAUGCAUUGGCAUAAUAGCCAGUGCAGUGUCGCAGGGAAGCCGUUAAGUCUGCCGCCUGGGAAGUACGUACGCAAGUAUGAAACUUAAAGGAAUUGGCGGGGGAGCACCACAAGGGGUGAAGCCUGCGGUUCAAU